rnacentral:tRNA from 1 species
AUUUAUAUAGUUUAAGUAAAACUUUACAUUUUCAUUGUAAAAUUAGAAAUAAUUCUUAUAAAUA